CCCACCUUGGAUCUGGAUCAAGAGGACAGCAAGAGGAAGGCGAGGUGGCUCAUCCCUUCUGUCACCAUCCUCACCUCAACAGGGUCCUCGCAGCUCAUUCCCACCCAGUGCAGGGCAUGUCCAGCACAGGAGAGGACUGGGACCAGCCACCCUGUGCCACCCAGCCUGGCUCAGCAGCGACUCGGUCCGAGGUCGACCUUGUUCUGUAGGAGUCGAGCCCCAGUCGUCGGAGGUGGCAACGGGGUGGUAGUGCACCAUCAGCUUGUAAACAAGAAGAGCCUGUCAUUAAGCUGCCCACGGUUGAGCAGAGGAGAAGCUCUGCCACCACAGCUGGAACCAAGGCCUCACAUUACUCACGGCAGGACCAGAAAGGCAGCAAUCAGAAGGCUGUGUGCCUUCUGUGGCACAAAGAAGGACGAGACGGGACAUCUUCUGUGGGCAGCACACACGAGCAUGCAUGAGCAAUGGCUGUAGACACCGAGGUUCUCUGUACCCAAGCACAGAGAACACCAUCAGUGUCAGACUG